rnacentral:lncRNA from 1 species
AAAAUUUUGUUCAUUGUUAGCUACAUCUUCCUGCUCCACUCCCUGGGGAAUGUGGGCAUCCUGUCUCCGGUCACCCGUCAUAUCAGAGAACUCAGGAAGUGCGGUUUAUAAAUAUCUCCAGCUUGUCAGGAACGACCAGGUGGCAGAUACACGUCAAGAAAACUAAUCAUCUUCUAACAGGAUUUGGAAUGGAAUUAACGCGGCUCUUGUGCCCUUCCUGUUCCAGCUUUAGCAGCCUAAGGUCCAUGACUGCUCAGAGAUUAGCGGGCUGGCAAUCGCACCCCACGGCAUCUCUGGGUCCGGGUUCUCUCUGCGGACCCUAGGCAAUGAGUUUUGUGAGAUUCAACAGUCGAGUUUCUCGGAGACAGAGCUUGGGUUUGUGAUUGAAACUGGCCAACCCAUCCAGGGAUGCCCAGUGAGACAAACGCACCUCCUGUUUUUGAGGUGAUGACACUGGCCUAGAAGGCCGCGAAGUCAACAAGUCGAUCCUGCCAGACAAGUUUCUGGACGCCUCUAAACCUCCGGGACGCCGCGGUGCGUCAACCACAUGCGGUCGAGGAGUCAUUUGAAGAGAGAGCGCUGAGUGCUGUCAAUACUGCCAGGCGUCCUCGAGUGGUUCUUCCAGCCCUCG